rnacentral:rRNA from 1 species
GACGAACGCUGGCGGCGUGCCUAAUACAUGCAAGUCGAGCGCAGGAAGUCGACGGAACCCUUCGGGGGGAAGUCGACGGAAUGAGCGGCGGACGGGUGAGUAACACGUAAAGAACCUGCCCUCAGGUCUGGGAUAACCACGAGAAAUCGGGGCUAAUACCGGAUGGGUCAUCGGACCGCAUGGUCCGAGGAUGAAAGGCGCUCCGGCGUCGCCUGGGGAUGGCUUUGCGGUGCAUUAGCUAGUUGGUGGGGUAAUGGCCCACCAAGGCGACGAUGCAUAGCCGACCUGAGAGGGUGAUCGGCCACACUGGGACUGAGACACGGCCCAGACUCCUACGGGAGGCAGCAGUAGGGAAUCUUCCACAAAGGACGAAAGUCUGAUGGAGCAACGCCGCGUGAACGAUGAAGGCCUUCGGGUCAUAAAGUUCUGUUGUAAGGGAAGAACAAGUGCCGCAGGCAAUGGCGGCACCUUGACGGUACCUUGCGAGAAAGCCACGGCUAACUACGUGCCAGCAGCCGCCGUAAGAC